GAUGAACGCUGGCGGCGUGCUUAACACAUGCAAGUCGAACGGAAAGGCCCUGCUUUUGUGGGGUGCUCGAGUGGCGAACGGGUGAGUAACACGUGAGUAACCUGCCCUUGACUUUGGGAUAACUUCAGGAAACUGGGGCUCAUACCGGAUAGGAGCUCCUGAUGCAUGGUGGGGGUUGGAAAGUUUCGGCGGUUGGGGCUGGACUCGCGGCUUAUCAGCUUGUUGGUGGGGUAGUGGCUUACAACGGCUUUGACGGGUAGCCGGCCUUAGAGGGUGACCAGCGACAUUGGGACUGCGAGACGGCGCAGACUCCUAUGGGAGGCAGCAGUGGGGAGUAUGGCACAGUGAGCGGAAGCGUGAUGCGACAACGCCGCGUGCGUAAUGACGGCCUUCGAGUUGUGAACCGCUUUCUCCUGUGACGAAGCGUGAGUGACGGUAAUGGGUAAAGAAGCACCGGCUAACUACGUG
rnacentral:rRNA from 1 species